rnacentral:rRNA from 1 species
UGGGGAAUUUUGGACAAUGGGCGAAAGCCUGAUCCAGCAAUGCCGCGUGUGUGAAGAAGGCCUUCGGGUUGUAAAGCACUUUUGUCCGGAAAGAAAUCCUUGGCUCUAAUACAGUCGGGGGAUGACGGUACCGGAAGAAUAAGCACCGGCUAACUACGUGCCAGCAGCCGCGGUAAUACGUAGGGUGCAAGCGUUAAUCGGAAUUACUGGGCGUAAAGCGUGCGCAGGCGGUUUGCUAAGACCGAUGUGAAAUUCCCGGGCUCAACCUGGGAACUGCAUUGGUGACUGGCAGGCUAGAGUAUGGCAGAGGGGGGUAGAAUUCCACGUNUAGCAGUGAAAUGCGUAGAGAUGUGGAGGAAUACCGAUGGCGAAGGCAGCCCCCUGGGCCAAUACUGACGCUCAUGCACGAAAGCGUGGGGAGCAAACAGGAUUAGAUACCCUGGUAGUCCACGCCCUAAACGAUGUCAACUAGUUGUUGGGGAUUCAUUUCCUUAGUAACGUAGCUAACGCGUGAAGUUGACCGCCUGGGGAGUACGGUCGCAAGAUUAAAACUUAAAUGAAUUGACGGGGUCAUA